UGAGAACUUGGAAACGGUCGAGAUCCCCACCCCUAAACCAUAUAUAUUCAUGUAUGGGACAAUAUAACAAAUCAUAUGAAAUAUAGGUGGAGUUCGUGGGGCCACUCUUCCCCUUCCGGUUUGAGAAUUUGAAAACGGUUGAGAUCCCCAAUCUUAAACCAUAUAUAUUCAUGUAUGGGACAAUAUUACAAAUCAAAGGAAUAAUAAGGGGGUCCCUAUGGUCACUGUAAACCCUCCUGUUUGAGAACUUGGAAACAUUCGAGAUCCUCAACCCUAAACCAUAUUUAUUCAUGUAUGGGACAAUAUAACUAAUCAAAUGAAAUAUAGGGG
rnacentral:lncRNA from 1 species